GUUUAAGUAAUUUAUAAUAAAAUAGUAGAAUGUGACACUACAAAUGCAUGCAAUUGCCUUAAACA
rnacentral:tRNA from 1 species